rnacentral:lncRNA from 1 species
GGGAGUGUUCUUGUUUAUUUGCUGGCUUUGUGUAUUAUGCUACUGUGCUCACUUGUUGUCUUACUGACUGGUAAGAAAAUACAGUCUAUUUAAUCAAAGACCAAAAAAGGUGCUAGGACUUAUUUUAAGAACAUAAAGUAGGGAAGACAAAUAUGGUGCUUUGGAAUAUACAUGCACAAAAAUUAGACUUUCUUUUUUUAAAAGACAAAUAUGAUGAUUGUGUAAAAAAAUAAUGCUAUUCACAAGUAGCAAUUUAAGACAAAAAUACAAAGAAAAAGAAAAGUCAAAGGAAAGUCAAAGAUUUAUCAAGUGGAGAAACAAAGAGUUUGACAAUAUCUACAUCAGAAAAGGUCAAAUCAAGGCAAAGGUAUCAUAUGUCAUAAAAAGGGUUGUUUUAUAUUGAUAAAAAGGCAAUCUAUAUGUUCUGUAUGGCUAAAUAUCAGAUAUCAUAACAUUAAAGUUUAUAAGGCAAAUGCUUUUAAGAAGUCAACAGAGCACAGUGAUAUAAGACAUGCCAUUCUCAGGCAAAGAUCAAGUGGUUGGAACAAAUCAGGAUGCAGAGGAUUAGCAAACUGAAACUAAUAAGGAUUAUUUCAUAGAUACUAAACUUUAUGAUGUCUAAUUUUGAGCCCUACAAGCACUGAAUAUAUUUCUUUUUAAGAGUCUAAAACAUUUUCAAAAUCAUACUUAUGAGUACAAUAAAAAUACUAGCUUAAGAAAAGGGAGAUAAACCAAUGGAAUAGAAUCAAGAGCCUAAUAAGAAUAAGGUCCCAGUAUAUGAAAGAAAUUGUUAUAAGGCAUUAUGGUAUAAAAGUGGCAUUACAAAUAUGAAUAAUGAACACACACUUAUUUAAUUAUGUGGGAAAAAUAAAUUAGAUCUUUAGUUAAGUUCAUAUAUAACAAAAACAUUUCAUUAGUGAGUUAUGAAUUUAAAAUUAAACAUAAUAACACUAGAAAUAAAAAUUGGUGAAUAUUUACAUUAUAUUGGAUAAGAAUUUUCUUUCUGUAUAAGGUGACCAAAAAGGAAUCUUUAAAACAAGAUUGGGGGCCAGCCCAGUGGCACAGCAGUUAAGUUUGCAAGUUCAGCUUCGGCGGCUCGGGGUUCACCAGUUUGGAUCCCGGGUGCAGACAUGGCACUGCUUGUCAAGCCAUGCUGUGGUAGGCGUCCCACAUAAAAAGUAGAGGAAGAUGAGCACAGAUGUUAGCUCAGGGCCAGUCUUCCUCAGCAAAAAGAGGAGGAAUGUGCAACUC